rnacentral:lncRNA from 13 species
UGGCCUACUUCCCAAUUUCCAAGGCCCUAUGAUCAGUUAUGUUAAGACAUACUAAGGACCACUGAUCCAAUCAUUAAAUUUCCCCUAUGCAAAUACAAUCGCUGCUCCACUGUUCUGUUUUCAUUCAUCCUCUUUCUUAGCUCUCUUCCUAUCCAUAAAACCUCAGUAGGCCUCUUUAAUACUCAAGAGUGUUUUUAUUUUCAUGAAUCUAGUUUAUAUGUUGGAAUGUUCCAAGCAAUAAAUAUCAAAUAAGAACAUGGAAGGUAUUAUAUGGUAGGAGGGGUCUAAUACAGCCUACCUAUAUCACUAAGUGAAACACAUUUGGUCUUGAUUUCCUUCAAAACCUAUGUUGACAUUCUUAGGAUAUACAUCCGGAAGUGUUUGAAAAUAAAAUUUUAUUGCAACUGCAAGUUAUUUUUAAAUGGUUCAGUCGAAAAGAUGGCUAGAGGCAGACAUAGAUAAACCUAAUAUGACAAAAUGAAAACUGUUGAAUCUAAAUGUGUUUGGUAUAUGAAAGUUAACCAAUCUUUUUCUUUCCUUUUGAGACAGAAGAGAACUUUAUUACAGACGCACCCAGGAUAGCAGCAGGCUCACACCUAAAACGGUCAGGAAGCCUAACAAAGGAGGCAGUCCAGCUUAUAUGCUGUUUGAGGCUGGAAGUUGAGGCAGGAAGUUGGUUUCAGAUGACAAUCAGGUUUUACAAAAUUAAGCUUCCUGAUCAUUUGACUCUAUAAACUUGCAGUUGAGGUAAGGGGUAAAAAGGUGGGGGGAGGUGAUCCAGGAAGAUCAGGAAAUGCAGAAAUGUGCUGCUUGCAGACCUGAAGAUGUGCUUUGGUGAGCUUAUCUAUGUAAAGAGAGGGGUUCCCAUUCUGCUUUACUUGAACUUUUAUUUAACUACCACUUACAUACAUACUAUUGAAACUAUCUACUAUUGCAUUUACUUUUCAUUUUCUUCCACAUUUUGCCCCUUUAGAAGCUUCCCUUUAAAAUCUAGAUACUAUUAUCAGAAAGUUUUUACAUCUUUUUUAUGCACAGAAUGCAGAGUCCAAGUCUUCUCACUGGCAACAUCCUUGCCUGGGAAUUACCUUGCAUGUGUAUUUGCUGCUAUCGCUGCUCCUAUACUUCAAUGGAGCAGAAUGGCUUUCGAUAUGCCUUUACCCUUUGCUGGCCUCCCCGCGGCUGUGCCUGUCUUAGGUUGCUCUCGUCCUUCAGAGAGUCUUACCCGUCAUUGGCAACCAGCCAUCCACCUGGGGGGCACACAGGCAACUUGUCUGCCUGUCAAGUACGCUGCUGGUGCAUCUGCACCUGGUAUGAAUUUAGCCUUUGCUGGCCUCCCUGUGGCUGUGCCUGUCUUAGGUUGCUCUCGUGCUUCAGAGUCUUACCCGUCAUUGGCAAAGCAGCCAUCCACCUGGGGGGCACACAGGCAACUUACUUGUCUGCCUGUCAAGUACGCUGCUGGUGCAUCUGCUCCCAGAAUGAAUUUAGCCUUUGCUGGCCUCCCCACGGCUGUGCCUGUCUUAGGUUGCUCUGGUCCUUCACAGAGUCUUACCCGUCAUUGGCUAACCAGCCAUCCACCUGGGGGGCACACAGGCAACUUACUUGCCUGUCAAGUACGCUGCUGGUGCAUCUGCUCCCAGGAUGAAUUUAGCCUUGGCUGGCAUCCCCGCGGCUGUGCCUGUCUUAGGUUGCUCUGGUCCUUCACAGAGUCUUACCCGUCAUUGGCUAACCAGCCAUCCACCUGGGGGGCACACAGGCAACUUACUUGCCUGUCAAGUACGCUGCUGGUGCAUCUGCUCCUGGUAUGAAUUUAGCCUUGGCUGGCAUCCCCGCGGCUGUGCCUUUCUUAGGUUGCUCUCAUCCCUCAGAGAGUCUUACCCGUCAUUGGCUAACCAGCCAUCCACCUGGGGGGCACACAGGCAACUUACUUGCCUGCCUGUCAAGUAUUCUGCUGGUGCAUCAGCUCCCGGUGUAAAUUUAGCCUUUGCUGGCCUCCCAGAGGCUGUGCCUGCCUUAGGUUUCUCUCAUGCCUCAGAGAUUCUUACCCAUCAUUGGCUAACCAGCCAUCCACCUGGGAGGCAUACAUACAGGCAACUUGCUUGCCUGUCAAUUACACUGCUGGUACGUCUGCUCCCAGUAUGAAUUUAGCCUUUGCUGGCCUCCCCGCAACGUACUUGCCUGUCAAUGACGCUGCUGCUCCAUCUGCUUCUAGUGCUUCUCGAUUCCUUCAUGGGAGCAGACUGGUUUUUUAUAAAUUUAGCUAUUGGUCGCUGCCCUACAGCUGUGCCUGUCUUAGGUUGCUCUUGUCUUGCACAGAGUCUUACCCAUAAUUUACUAACCAGCCGUCCACCUCAGGGGCACAUUUUUGGCUUUUCCCUUGGAGAGAAGCAUGAGUAAGCCAGUUAGAAGUUAUACCUAUUGUUAUUUCCUGCGCCUAUUGCUUUUGCUUAGGCAGGAUUUAUAUAUUACACCCUAGAACGUUAUUUUAUUUUAUUUUUUUGAGACAGAGUUUCGCUCUUGCUACCCAGGCUGGAGUGCAAUGGCGCGAUCUCGGCUCACCACAAUAUCUGCCUCCUGGGUUCAGGCAAUUCUCCUGCCUCAGCCUCCCGAGCAGCUGGGAUUACAGGCACGCACCACCGUGCCCAGCUAAUUUUUUGUAAUUUUAGUAGAGACGGGGUUUCACCAUGUUGACCAAGAUGGUCUUGAUCUGUUGACCUCGUGAUCCACCCGCCUCAGCCUCCCAAAGUGCUGGGAUUACAGGCUUGAGCCACCGCGCCCAGCCCCCUAGAACGUUAUUUUACAAGUUAUCUGCAGUAUACCUAGAAAACAAUAUGGAAAAAGUGGGAGGCAGGUUUUCUGCUAAGCUUCAAAUCACACAUCUGUGAAGCAAGAGUUACAUGGGCUUGUUUGGAGUCAGAAAAAUUCGUGGCAUGUAAAACUAUCAAAGAAAAAUAUUUUAUUUUCAACUGACAGGUUGAGUAUCCUUAUCCAAAAUGCUUGGGCCAAGAAGUGUUCUGGAUUUCUGAUUUUUUCAGAUUUGGGAAUAUUUACAUAUACAUGAGCUCUCUUGGGAAUGGAACCUCAAACUAAAUGUAAAAUUCUGUUAUGCUUUAUAUAUACCUUAUACAUACAGCCUGAAGUUAAUUCUACAAACUAUUGUAAGUAAUUUUGCGCACGAAACAAAGUUUGUGUUAAGUACUCACAAGUGGAAUUUCUUACACGUGGUGUCAUGUUGUUGCUCAAAAAGUUUCAGAUUUCGGAGCACUAUGGAUUUCAGAUUUUCAGGUUAGGAAUCUGUAAUAAGAGAAACAACAAUUAUAUCUUUUUCUUUGUAUGUGUUAUAAUAUUCCUUAUAUUUCAGUUACAUUACCUUUAUAUUUAUUGAGGUUGCUUAUCACACUGUUUAAAAGAUCCAAGUUUAUAAAAUUACAUUACAAAGAAACAGUAGUCCUCUCCUCCCACAUUUCACAAGUCUUAUAGAAAAGCACUCUCAACAAUUGUAGUCUUCUCUUAAAUAAACUCUGAGAAAAGGAAAAAAAACCA